GUCUAUGGCCAUACUACACUGAAUGUGCCCAAUCUCGUCUGAUCUCCUGAAGCUAAGUAGGGUUAGGCCUGGUUAGUAUUUGGAAGGGGAGACCAAAGUGUUGGGAUUACAGGUG
rnacentral:rRNA from 10 species